rnacentral:rRNA from 1 species
AUUGAACGCUGGCGGCAUGCUUUACACAUGCAAGUCGAACGGUAACAGGCCUUCGGGUGCUGACGAGUGGCGAACGGGUGAGUAAUUCAUCGGAACGUACCCAGAGGUGGGGGAUAACGCAGCGAAAGCUGUGCUAAUACCGCAUGUGAUCGGAGGAUGAAAGCGGGGGACCGAGCAGCAAUGUUUGGCCUCGCGCCGUUGGAGCGGCCGAUGUCGGAUUAGCUAGUUGGGGGGGUAAAGGCCUACCAAGGGGAGGGUCGGUAGCUGGUCUGAGGGGACGGCCAGCGACAGUGGGACUGAGACGCGGCAUAGGGACCGACGGGAGGCAGAGGUGGGGAAUUGUGGACAAAGGGCGGAAGCCUGAUCCAGCAGUGGCGCGUGCGGGAAGAAGGGCCGCGGGUUGUAAACCGGUUUUGGCGGGAACGAAACGGUGUCCGUUAAUACCGGGCGGUAGGGACGGUACCUGCAGAAUAAGCACCGGCUACCUCCGU